rnacentral:rRNA from 1 species
UACGAAGGGGGCUAGCGUUGCUCGGAAUCACUGGGCGUAAAGCGCACGUAGGCGGCUUUCUAAGUCAGGGGUGAAAUCCUGGAGCUCAACUCCAGAACUGCCUUUGAUACUGGAGAGCUUGAGUCCGGAAGAGGUGAGUGGAACUCCGAGUGUAGAGGUGAAAUUCGUAGAUAUUCGGAAGAACACCGGUGGCGAAGGCGGCCUGCUGGGCAGUUGCUGACACUGAGGCGCGACAGCGUGGGGAGCAAACAGG